rnacentral:rRNA from 1 species
CAGCCGCCGCGGUAAUACCGGCAGCCCGAGUGGCGGUCACUAUUAUUGGGCUUAAAGCGUCCGUAGCCGGGUUGGGAAGUCCUCCGGGAAAUCUGGCCGCUUAACGGUCAGAAUGCCGGAGGAUACUCCCAGCCUAGGGAGCGGGAGAGGCCGAGGGUAUUCCCGGGGUAGGGGUGAAAUCCUAUAAUCCCGGGAGGACCACCUGUGGCGAAGGCGCUCGGCUGGAACGCGUCCGACGGUGAGGGACGAAGGCCAGGGGAGCAAACCGGAUUAGAUACCCGGGUAGUCCUGGCUGUAAACGAUGCGGACUUUGUGUCGGACAAGCUAUGAGCUUGUCCGGUGCCGGAGGGAAACCGUUAAGUCCGCCGCCUGGGGAGUACGGCCGCAAGGCUGAAACUUAAAGGAAUUGGCGGG